rnacentral:miRNA from 1 species
CUUCAUGGAGCACCAACGAGCUGA